rnacentral:rRNA from 1 species
UUUCCGUAGGUGAACCUGCGGAAGGAUCAUUGUCGAAACCUGCAAAGCAGAACGACCCGCGAACCGUUGAAAAAACGACGGCGGGGCGGGGGCGAGCCGCGGGCCCGUCCCGCUCUCUCCCCCGCACCCGCCCCACGAACAAAACCCCGGCGCGAGACGCGCCAAGGAAUCGAAAACGAAAAGACAGGGAACGGGCGGCCCGUCGCGUGCCGGAAACGGAUUUCUCGCGGGCGGCCCUUUCUCCUUCGGAAACAAAACGACUCUCGGCAACGGAUAUCUCGGCUCUCGCAUCGAUGAAGAACGUAGCGAAAUGCGAUACUUGGUGUGAAUUGCAGAAUCCCGUGAACCAUCGAGUCUUUGAACGCAAGUUGCGCCCGAAGCCCUCGGGCCGAGGGCACGUCUGCCUGGGUGUCAUGCAUCGUCGCCCCCCCAUCCUUCCGACUCCCCCCGAGGGGGAAGAGGGGGUACGGGGCGGGCGGAGACUGGUCUCCCGUGCGCUCCCGCUCGCGGUUGGCCGAAAUAAGAGUUGUUGGCGGCCAAGAACGCCACGGCAAGCGGUGGUUGUCAAAGACCUUCGGAGAUUGCCGUCGGCGAGGCCGUCACGAGGCUCCGGGACCCUGUUUUCCAACCACGGCGACCCCAGGUCAGGCGGGAUUACCCGYUGAGUUUAA